rnacentral:lncRNA from 1 species
CAAGAGAUGGAGAGCUAAAAAAUCCGAGAACACAAAUGACUACAAAUGUACUGUUUUAUUCAUUUUCUGAGUGAUUUUUCAGUUUUCUCUUGAUUCUUGGAAAUACUCUAGAGUAGUUUGAGGCUGAAAUAUUCCAACUAAUUAGACAGAAAUAUAAGUUUUACUAUUUUAGUGGAUCCUUAGAGAUUCUGAUUUUCUUUCAAAUUUUCAGAAAUAGUUGUGACACACAUGUGUAUCAAAUGGUUUGAAAUUAGUUUAUAAUAUCAUUUUAAAGCCUGUCGGGCUGUUAGUUUGGUUCGAGCUUGAUAAGUUGAAUGGCUAUUUGUCAUCCUGGCUUCAAAGCCGUGUUUUUGGUUGUUUGAAUGCUGAUUUGUGCUCCUGAAUCUGCUGCUACUGCUCUGCUCUACUGACUCUUAACCUUUCCCUUUUUUUCUUUCCCAGGUACAUACUUCGAACCCCAAUGUGUAAUCAAGUUUGAAGAUGGAACGAAGUUAUUUUUGCAUUGCGACACUAGUUUUUUUUACAAUUGAUUCUAUCCUCAUGCCUGUUUGCUUAGACUACUAAUGUGAUGACUCCUUUCUUAAAAUAGUUAAGGAUCCACUUGUAAAUAAUCAUGGACCCUAAACUUUGACUUGGCUCCAUUUCGUGUUUUGGUUUGUUAUUAGUAGUAUAGAUGUCAAUUCUGAAGUCCAUGUGGGCUGAUUGUAGAAAAAAUAUAUGGAAUCCUUGAGUUUCUUUAUCAUGUAUAAUUGGACAUUUAGAAGUUGGUUUGGUAACCGUUGCUUGAAAUAAUUUGUAUGUUAGCUAUCAAUUCACCCUUUCCCUGAUCCCCUCAAGUGUUGAAUGUCCAAGUGUACUAAAUAGUCAUAUAGUCAUUAGCUUUGGUAGUAUAGCUUAGUUUGAUAUCCAUUUAGUUGAAGUUGUAUUUGAGUCGAGAAUUAUCUAGUUCUAUCACUGAUCCAGUGUGUGUGAAUUCGAUACUUCUUUAAUAGUUUGGACGAGCUGUAAUAAUUUAGUUUCAAUUGUUCAUGAAGCAUGGAAUUCAUUUAGAGUUUGAGUUUAAAGUAGCACUGAUUCCUUUCUAGUAUGACAAGGAUUGUAAGCAUGUUUAAUUUUAAUAUAAUUU